UACGGAGGGAGCUAGCGUUGUUCGGAAUUACUGGGCGUAAAGCGUACGUAGGCGGUUAUUCAAGUCAGAGGUGAAAGCCCGGGGCUCAACCCCGGAACUGCCUUUGAAACUAGAUAACUAGAAUCUUGGAGAGGUCAGUGGAAUUCCGAGUGUAGAGGUGAAAUUCGUAGAUAUUCGGAAGAACACCAGUGGCGAAGGCGACUGACUGGACAAGUAUUGACGCUGAGGUACGAAAGCGUGGGGAGCAAAGCAGG
rnacentral:rRNA from 1 species